rnacentral:rRNA from 1 species
AUGAGAGUUUGAUCCUGGCUCAGGAUGAACGCUGGCGGCGUGGAUAAGGCAUGCAAGUCGAGAGGGUUUAGACCCUCGGCGAACUGGUUAGUAAUACAUAGGAACGUACCUCAAAGUCAGGGAUAACCCAGAGAAAUCUGGGAUAAUACCUGAUAGUCUCUUCGGAGUAAAGAUUUAUCGCUUUGAGAUCGGCCUAUGUCCUAUCAGCUUGUUGGUGAGGUAAUGGCUCACCAAGGCUAUGACGGGUAGGGGACGUGAGAGCGUGACCCCCAACAUUGGCACUGAGACACUGGCCAAACACCUACGGGUGGCUGCAGUCGAGAAUAUUCGACAAUGCACGAAAGUGUGAUCGAGCGACGCCGCGUGCGGGAUGAAGGCCUUCGGGUUGUAAACCGCUUUUAUAAGGGAAGAAUUUAGAUGACUGUACCUUAUGAAUAAGGAGUUGCUAACUACGUGCCAGCAGCAGCGGUAAUACGUAGACUCCAAGCGUUAUCCGGAUUUAUUGGGCGUAAAGGGUGUGUAGGCGGAUAUAAUAGUCAGGUGUUAAAUCGCAGAGCUCAACUCUGCGGCCGCACUUGAAACGUUAUAUCUAGAAAUAAGUAGAGGUUAGCGGAACUCAUAGUGUAGCAGUGAAAUGCGUUGAUAUUAUGGGGAACACCAAAGGCGAAGGCAGCUAACUGGGCUUUAUUUGACGCUGAGGCACGAAAGCGUGGGUAGCGAAUGGGAUUAGAUACCCCAGUAGUCCACGCCCUAAA